CCAUGUUAGAAAACUAGAAAGAUUCAUAAUUUAGAAAUAAAAAAGACUAUGCCUUUCUUGGCAAAUCCUAGUGAGAAUUAUUUUUCGUAAAUCUUCACUAAAUAUUGGAUUUUCCAACACCAGAACCAUCUAAUAAAGAGAUGAUCAAGACUCAAUUGAAUUGAGUCAACAAAUUGAGAGAAAAUUAUGUUAACAAUAAAUUGAGAGAGAAAAUUAAACUAUAUUCAUAAACAACAGAUUUUUUUAAGUUAAUUCAGGCCAAUUUAUUUAAUUUAUAACCCGAUUAUUAUACCGGAUUGAUCGGAGAAUCGGGUUUAAAAACGAUAGUCAAUUGCAGUGGAUUCUCUAGCUCCGGAUCAAGAUACAACCCAACCUUUUCCUUUUCAUGCGACGACCUCACCUUCUUUUCCCUCCACACCUUUUUUUCUCAUCACAAAAUUGAGGAGUGCUACAAUGCUAGCAUGUAUAUAACAAGAACUAUUCGCAAAGCGAGGGUAGAUAGUUUUUACAGAGCAUGGAUGCUAUGGGAAAAACCUACACUUACUAGCUAUGAUAGCUAAGGAGAGUCGUAAUACAGAGAAGGGUGUGAAUGCUCUUAGCUAAUGUGAGUAGGUAAAUAUUCGAAUACCUUACCAAACGUCAUCUGAUCACACGGAUCAUAUGACAUCAAUCACGGAUUAUAAUUACAAGGCAAAGAUUGAAAGCGGCAGCACGGCAGGACAACGCCCAUGCCCGCCCUCUCGGCGUUCCUGCGUUACCCCCAGAAAAGCCGAAACGGAUUUCGAAAAAGUUCCUUAAUCAGAGAAAUCAGAGAAAUCCCCGGACGAAUCUAGAACUUUCUAGAAUUUGACGACGGUGUUCUUUCUGCUUCUGGGCGGCUUUGUGAAGUUAUUUGCCUGAGAUUUGGAUCGAAUUGCAGUGUAGAAUGUGCUUGCUGAAUGCUCUCUUGUUGAUUUCGUAAGGUUUCGUCAUUGAUUUUCAGAUUCUCAAAGCACAGUGAAUUGUAGCUAUUGGAUGUAUUGGACUGGUGAAAGCUGUGAUCUUUAGUCUUUUAUAUGGAAAAUUACACUGAACCCGAACCUCAACAGAGCGAAGCAGGUAUGCAUUUUUCUUUGUCAAAGCUCAUCUCUUUGUUUGCUUUUUUCUACUUUACCUGCUAUCGGUUGCGUUAAUGUUUUCAUUUAUGCAUAUGCAAAUGGCAUUUGCAGUGUGCAAUUUUUUCAUGAAGUCUAUUUUUCAGUAGCUCCUCAAAACUCUAUGUAUCUGUCUGAGCUAUCUUUUUAGAAAACAAUCCGAUUCAUUAGAGAGUAUGUUUGUAAUUAAUAAAAUAGGGGCUUCUUUUAAGUGUAUUGGUCAAGAGUUUCAAGCUUUUGUAGUUUUAAAUUGCUAGGCAGGAGUUACAUUGCACUUUAUACUUUGUAGUAGUGAUACUGAGGACAUUAGAGUUGUUCUAUUUACAAAAUUUAGAUCUUGGAUUA